rnacentral:lncRNA from 1 species
CAGCCCACCUGGUUAGUCUGCCUAGCCUUAGGACUUGUACUAGCUACAGGCUGUGGGAGAAGGACCCUCGGAGACCCUCAAGCCACACAAUGGAUCGAAUUCAGGAUCUUGCGCUUGCAAGACAGGCGCGGUGCCACUGAGCUAAAUCCCUGGCCCAGUGUAUUGUUAAGAAGGACAGGAAAAGGUGUUCCAGCUAAGGCCUACUACCUGGAGGGGCUGUCUGUUCUUUUCUGUUUGUUUGUAUGUUUGUUGCUUUUCUUUUUUUUUUAAACAGGUAUUCCUGUGUUGUUCAGGCUGGCUUUGAACUCACUCAGUAGCCCAGGCAGAUAAACUCACAGCAAUCUUCCUACCUCAACUUCCCAAGUGCCGAGAUUUUUUUUGGCUUUGUUUUUUUGAGACAAGGUCUUGCUCUGUAGCCCAGGCUGGCCUCAAAGUCAGGGUGAUUCUUUUCCCUAGGCCUCUGGAGCUCUCAGAAUUAUGUACCACCCUGCUUGGAUUGCAGUGAACUUUUGAUCUUGUCUCAGCCCCCUGAAGUGCUGGCAUGACAGAUAUAUGCCACCAUGCCUCCUUAAGAUAGGGUUCCUUUAAACCACUACUUUUGUUUUGUUUUCUUUUGUUUGUUUUUAAUCACCACUGUUAACUAGCACUACAUUGUUUGGUUAAAUAUGUUUCAUUGAGCCAUGGUGCCCAACUUUCAUUUCAGCCACUUGGGACCCUGAGGCAGAAGGAUUGCAAUACCAAGGCCAGCCUGUACAGUGGAACAAGACCCUGUACAAUAUAAAGUAAAAAUACUGGGGCUGUGUUUCCAAUCUAAAGAACCUUAGGUAAACUGCACAAGGCUCUGAAUUCAAUCUCAGGUACUGAAGUAUAAAAAGCAAAAAUGAUAAGUAUUCAGUGGAAAAUUUACUUUAAUUUUUGAAUUUUAUGAUGUUGGCAAACUCGUGGUAUGUGGUACAAUACUUGCUCAAGAUGCUGGGCAGCAGCUGACUCACUGCUCUGUCUGGAACAGGGUACUGUGUGAAAACAGCUGGUGAUUUCCAGUGCACCAUGUUCAAAAAAGUACACAAGAAAAAAAAAAAAAAAGUACACAAGAUACUUAGUAUUUUACGUUGAAAUAGACUAUGUGUUACCUACAUUUUCUCAGCUACAAUUCUCUAUAAGUGUGUUGAGCUGUUUUAAAGGAGCCAAGGCUUAAUAAUAAUGUUUGUUAAAUUAGGUAUAUUCAAAGCCUUUUCAGUAGGUUUUAUUUUCAACUGCCUGUAGGUUGAUCAAGAUAUUUUCCCUUGGUAACUCAAGCAGCAUUCAGUGAACUCUUUAUAAAGCAACAUUCAGUCAACUCUUUGUAAAAUGUUUCUCUGUAGAAUAUGAAACUGAUCAGUUUCCUGUGUUGAGUGCUGUAUUAAUCAGGGUUUCAGGAGAAAUUGACCUGGGAUACAUGAGUAGUGUUUGGAUAAAAGAGCACAACUUUGAGUUUGUUUUCUUGUUUUGAUUUGGUUUGGUUUGAUUUUGCUAUUUAUUUAUAUUGUGUUAUAGAGCAAUGCAUCACUCUGGUCAUACUGUCUGGCUUGCUUCACCAGGACAAGGGAACAGGAUAGAAAUUGUCAAUGAACAGACCCAGGGCUGGGCAGUUUGAUCAUAAGACACUAACCAUAUACAAUAGUGAAGAGAAAAGACUCCCAUUCCUAGUUUGAAUUUAUGCUGAUUCUGGGGACCAUUCUAACUGCCUUAACCCUGGAU